UACAGAGGUCCCAAGCGUUGUUCGGAUUCACUGGGCGUAAAGGGUGCGUAGGCGGUCGGGUAAGUCUGAUGUGAAAUCUCACAGCUUAACUGUGAAACUGCAUUCGAUACUGCCGUGCUUGAGGACUGGAGAGGAGACUGGAAUUUACGGUGUAGCAGUGAAAUGCGUAGAGAUCGUAAGGAAGACCAGUGGCGAAGGCGGGUCUCUGGACAGUUCCUGACACUGAGGCACGAAGGCCAGGGGAGCAAACGGG
rnacentral:rRNA from 1 species